rnacentral:rRNA from 1 species
GACGAACGCUGGCGGCGUGCUUAACACAUGCAAGUCGAACGGUAAGGCCCUUCGGGGUACACGAGUGGCGAACGGUUGAGUAACACGUGGGUGAUCUGCCCUGCACUUCGGGAUAAGCCUGGGAAACUGGGUCUAAUACCGGAUAGGACCCUGGGAUGCAUGUCCUGGGGUGGAAAGCUUUUGCGGUGGGGGAUGGGCCCGCGGCCUAUCAGCUUGUUGGUGGGGUGAUGGCCUACCAAGGCGACGACGGGUAGCCGGCCUAAGAGGGUGACCGGCCACACUGGGACUGAGAUACGGCGAAGACUCCUACGGGAGGAAGCAGUGGGGAAUAUUGCACAAUGGGCGCAAGCCUGAUGCAGCGACGCCGAGUGAGGGAUGGCGGCCUUCGGGUUGUAAACCUCUUUCAGCUCCGAGGAAGCGCAAGUGACGGUAGGUGCAGAAGAAGGACCGGCCAACUACGUGCCAGCCGCCGCGGUAA